UACGUAGGCAGCAAGCGUUGUUCGGAGUUACUGGGCGUAAAGGGUGUGUAGGCGGCUUUUUAAGUUUGGUGUGAAAUCUCCCGGCUCAACUGGGAGGGUGCGCCGAAAACUGGAGUGCUGGAGCGCGGGAGAGGAAAGCGGAAUUCCUGGUGUAGCGGUGAAAUGCGUAGAUAUCAGGAGGAACACCGGCGGUGUAGACGGCUUUCUGGACCGUAGCUGACGCUGAGACACGAAAGCGUGGGUAGCAAACAGG
rnacentral:rRNA from 1 species